GAUAGAGGCCUACCAUGGUGGUAACGGGUAACGGGGUGUUAGGGCACGACACCGGAGAGGGAGCCUGAGAAACGGCUACCACAUCCAAGGAUGGCAGCAGGCGCGCAAAUUACCCAAUCCCGACACGGGGAGGUAGUGACAAUAAAUAACAAUACGGGGUUCUUUAGGAUCUCGUAAUUGGAAUGAGUACAAUUUAAAUCUCUUAACGAGGAACAAUUGGAGGGCAAGUCUGGUGCCAGCAGCCGCGGUAAUUCCAGCUCCAAUAGCGUAUAUUAAAGUUGUUGCAGUUAAAAAGCUCGUAGUUGAAUUUCGGGGUUAGUAGGUUGGUCAUGCCUCUGGUAUGUACUGGUCUCACUGAUUCCUCCUUCCUUAUGAACCGUAAUGCCAUUAAUUUGGUGUUGCGGGGAAUUUGGACUGUUACUUUGAAAAAAUUAGAGUGUUUAAAGCAAGCUAACGCUUGAAUACAUUAGCAUGGAAUAAUGAAAUAGGACGUUCGAUCUUAUUUUGUUGGUUUCUAGGAUUGACGUAAUGAUUAAUAGGGAUAGUUGGGGGCAUUAGUAUUCAAUUGUCAGAGGUGAAAUUCUUGGAUUUAUUGAAGACUAACUACUGCGAAAGCAUUUGCCAAGGAUGUUUUCAUUAAUCAAGAACGAAAGUUAGGGGAUCGAAGACGAUCAGAUACCGUCGUAGUCUUAACCAUAAACUAUGCCGACUAGGGAUCGGAUGA
rnacentral:rRNA from 1 species